rnacentral:rRNA from 1 species
GUAGUUAGCCGGAGCUUCCUCCCUGGGUACCGUCAUCUAUUCGUCCCCAAGGACAGAGGUUUACAACCCGAAGGCCUUCAUCCCUCACGCGGCGUUGCUGGGUCAGGGUUGCCCCCAUUGCCCAAUAUUCCCCACUGCUGCCUCCCGUAGGAGUUUGGACCGUGUCUCAGUUCCAAUGUGGCCGAUCACCCUCUCAGGUCGGCUACCCAUCGCAGGCUUGGUGAGCCGUUACCUCACCAACUACCUAAUGGGACGCGAGCCCAUCUACAAGCGAUAAAUCUUUUACCCCUCUACCAUGCGGUAGUGUGGUCUUAUGCGGUAUUAGCAGCCGUUUCCAGCUGUUGUCCCCCUCUUGUAGGUAGGUUGCUCACGCGUUACUCACCCGUUCGCCACUAGGUGUAAAACCGAAAUCUUACACCCCGUUCGACUUGCAUGUGUUAGGCACGCCGCCAGCGUUCGUCCUGAGCCAGGAUCAAACUCUGA